rnacentral:tRNA from 1 species
GGGCUCGUGGUCUAGGGGUUAUGACGUCGCGCUUACAACGCGGAGGUCGAGGGUUCGAAUCCCUCCGAGCCCA